rnacentral:rRNA from 1 species
ACCUGUCGAAAGACGAGCUAAUACCCCGUAAGACCACGAGAACUUCGGUUCUUGAGGUAAAAGAUGGCCUCUAUUUAUAAGCUAUCACCUGAAGAUGAGUCCGCGCACCAUCAGCUAGUUGGUAGGGUAACGGCCUACCAAGGCUGAGAUGGUUAGCUGGUCUGAGAGGACGACCAGCGACACUGGAACUGAGAAACGGUCCAGACUCCUACGGGAGGCAGCAGUGGGGAAUCUUGGACAAUGGGCGAAAGCCUGAUCCAGCAACGCCGCGUGAGUGAUGAAGGCCUUCGGGUUGUAAAGCUCUGUCGGAGGGAACGAACAAGGGCGACCUAACACGUCGUCCUCUGACGGUACUCUCAAAGGAAGCACCGGCUAACUCUGUGCCAGCAGCCGCGGUAAGACAGAGGGUGCAAGCGUUGUUCGGAAUCACUGGGCGUAAAGGGGGUGUAGGCGGUAAGGUGUGUUCGGCGUGAAAGACCUCGGCUUAACCGGGGAAGUGCACUGAAUACUACCUUACUUGAGUGUGAGAGGGGAUGGCGGAAUUGUCAGUGUAGAGGUGAAAUUCGUAGAUACUGGCAGGAACACCGGAGGCGAAGGCGGCCAUCUGGAUCACAACUGACGCUGAUACUCGAAAGCGUGGGUAGCAAACAGGAUUAGAUACCCU